AAAGACUGAGGAUGACCCUCUUUAAUCUGUAUUUACCGACUAUCUGAGUUUUAGGGGCGAUAUAUUGAAUUCCUUAAGUAAGGGUUAAAUUGUUGAUAUUGGAAGACAUUCGAAGGCGGAAGCGAUACUCGACCUAGAUCUGACGCUAGGUACUAAAGUAUGGGUAUGAAAAGGAUUAGAGACCUUGUAGUCCAUACCUUAAACAAUGAGUGUUCAACGUCCUUAAGUACUUCGGUGACUUUUGUAGUUUUUACUCAAGAGAUUCGCUGAAUGGAGCUCAAGGGGGUUUAAAGCUAACGCGUGAAACACCGCCUGGGGAAUGUGGCCGCAAGGUUAAACUCAAAGGAAUUGACGGAGGCUUGUACAAGG
rnacentral:rRNA from 1 species